rnacentral:rRNA from 1 species
CAGGUAUUAAACUGAAGAGUUUGAUCCUGGCUCAGAUUGAACGCUGGCGGUAUGCUUUAC